CAGGAAAAGAAGAAAGAUGUGGAUUAGUUUUAGAGCAUUUUAAAAUGCUUUCAUAACAAGGAGACAGUUACAAAGGCUGAAAGGUAGAAAUGACCAAAGUUGCAGCAUUUAUUAUCCCUGAAAAAAAACAGAAGAGUUCUUCACAUGCUUCACGGUAGAAACAUUUGGCCCACAUUGCUCACCGUGAAACCAAAAAUCAAUACAGAUGUUGGUAAUCUUAUCUCUGGGAUGACAGAUGUGAAUCAAAAUGCGGCACGGUGACACAAAGUGGAACAUCGGGUCACCCAACCCAGGGCUGCAUUCUUUAUUAUAACAAAGUCGUUGUUUUCUGUAUGAAAAUAUACCAGCAACACGUCUGCAUUUUAUAUCUGGAAGUUCAAGACAAACUGGUUCUACAAAGUACAUUUUAUUCUUCUCUAUCAUACAUAGUGAAACAUAACUUAAACCCGAUAUGAUUGGCUGCUAUGCAAAACAGAGAAGGUAUAAAUAAGCAGGAAAAGCCUGAAAGAGACACCAACACUGUGGAGCUACCUCAAGCACUGGGAAACUACUGAUACAGCUAUUAGUCUGUUUUUCUUCACCACAAAUUACUUUGAAACAUAAACAGUAAAAGAUGGCCGAACAGAUGCCUAAAAGAUUCAAGGUUAUUGGAAAAUCACCACGGUCCGAAAAAAAGGAACGGAAAAAC